AUUGAACGCUGGCGGCAGGCUUAACACAUGCAAGUCGAGCGAGCGGCGGACGGGUGCAUAAUGUCUGGGAAACUGCCUGAUGGGGGGGGAUAACUACUGGAAGCGGUAGCUAAUACCGCAUACCCUCAGAUGUGCACAGAUGGGAUUAGCUCGUAGGGUGGGUAAUGGCUCACCUAGGCGACGAUCCCUAGCUGGUCUGAGAGGAUGACCAGCCACACUGGAACUGGGACACGGUCCAGACUCCUCCGGGAGGCAGCAGUGGGGAAUAUUGCACAAUGGGCGCAAGCCUGAUUCAGCCAUGCCGCGUGUGUGAAGAAGGCCUUCGGGUUGUAAAGCACUUUCAGCGAGGAGGCGUUACCCGCAGAAGAAGCACCGGCUAACUCCGUGCCAGCAGCCGCGGUAAUUC
rnacentral:rRNA from 1 species